CCUACGGGUGGCAGCAGUGGGGAAUAUUGGGCAAUGGGCGCAAGACUGACCCAGCAACGCCGCGUGAAGGAAGAAGGCUUUCGGGUUGGAAACUUCUUUUCUGAGGGACGAAGAAAGUGACGGUACCGCAGGAAUAAGCCACGGCUAACUAAAGGCCAGCAGCCGCGGUAAUACGGAGGUGGCAAGCGUUAUCCGGAGUUAUUGGGUGUAAAGGGCGUGUAGGCUGGAAAGCAAGUCAGAUGGGAAAACUAAGGGCUCAACCCUGAGCCUGCAUUUGAACCUGUUUUUCUUGAGUGCUGGAGAGGCAAUCGGAAUUCCGUGUGUAGCGGUGAAAUGCGUAGAUAUACGGAGGAACACCAGUGGCGAAGGCGGAUUGCUGGACCGUAACUGACGCUGAGGCGCGAAAGCGUGGGGAGCAAACAGGAUUAGAUACCCGUGUAGUC
rnacentral:rRNA from 1 species